AGCAGCCGCGGUAAUUCCAGCUCCAAUAGCGUAUAUUAAAGUUGUUGCAGUUAAAAAGCUCGUAGUUGAAUUUCGGGACCAAUUUGUUGGUCGUGCCUCGGUACGUACUGGUAUUAUUGGUUUCUCCCUUCUGAAGAACCUCGAUGCCAUUAAUUUGGUGUCGUGGGGAAUCAGGACUGUUACUUUGAAAAAAUUAGAGUGUUUAAAGCAAGCAUACGCUUGAAUACAUUAGCAUGGAAUAAUGAAAUAGGACGUUUGAUUCUAUUUUGUUGGUUUCUAGGAUCGACGUAAUGAUUAAUAGGGAUAGUUGGGGGCAUUAGUAUUCAAUUGUCAGAGGUGAAAUUCUUGGAUUUAUUGAAGACUAACUACUGCGAAAGCAUUUGCCAAGGAUGUUUUCAUUAAUCAAGAACGAAAGUUAGGGGAUCGAAGACGAUCAGAUACCGUCGUAGUCUUAACCAUAAACUAUGCCGACUAGGAAUCGGAUGAUGUUAAUUUUUAAUGACUCAU
rnacentral:rRNA from 1 species